CAGUCGUUAUGAGCAAGAGGAAGCAAGAGGGUUGCAGAGACCUUCGGCAAUGUUUUGCCUCAAAAAAAAAAAGAAGAAAAGAAAAAGAAGCACAAAUAAAGAGAGUGAAGCACAGAGAGAGCAAGAACGUUUGGAGGAUGAAAGCAGUGUGUGUCAAUCUGGUAGUGACAUAGAGAGUAGAGCUAGUGAGCCAGCGGGAGAGACAGAAAGUUUGGAGGAUGGAAGCACAGGGAGAGUUUGUCAAUCUAGUGGUGGCAUAGAGGUGAGUCGCCUAAGAGAGGAGUAAAUAUGAAAGGUUAAGACCGAAUAAUGACAUUGAAGUAGAAUCCUGUUAGCACACAUUUUUAUAGUGUAGGGUUGUCAAAAAAAUGUAUACUCAAAUACUAAUCGAUUAAAAUUAAAAAAAAUAAUAUCUGAUUAGAUACUUAUGUGCAACAGUAUCGAUACUAAAAUCGCUGUCUUCAUCAUC